rnacentral:rRNA from 1 species
UACGAAGGGGGCUAGCGUUGCUCGGAAUCACUGGGCGUAAAGGGUGCGUAGGCGGGUCUUUUAAGUCAGGGGUGAAAUCCUGGAGCUCAACUCCAGAACUGCCUUUGAUACUGAGGAUCUUGAGUUCGGGAGAGGUGAGUGGAACUGCGAGUGUAGAGGUGAAAUUUCGUAGAUAUUCGCAAGAACACCAGUGGCGAAGGCGGCUCACUGGCCCCGAUACUGACGCUGAGGCACGAAAAGCGUGGGGGAGCAAACAGG